rnacentral:rRNA from 1 species
AGAGUUUGAUCCUGGCUCAGGAUGAACGCUGGCUGCAUGCCUGAUACAUGCAAGUCGAACGAAAGUUACUUCGGUAACUUUAGUGGCGAACGGGUGAGUAAUACGUAGGUAAUCAACCCUUAAGACGAGGAUACCGUUUGGAAACGAACGUUAAUACUGGAUAGGAUAUCAUAAACCGCAUGGUUAGAUAUUUAAAGGAGCAAUCCACUUAGGGACGAGCCUGCGGCGCAUUAGUUAGUUGGUAAGGUAAUGGCUUACCAAGACCGCGAUGCGUAGCCGGACUGAGAGGUUGAACGGCCACAUUGGGACUGAGACACGGCCCAAACUCCUACGGGAGGCAGCAGUAGGGAAUUUUCGGCAAUGGACGAAAGUCUGACCGAGCAAUGCAGCGUGAACGAAGAAGUAUUUCGGUAUGUAAAGUUCUUUUAUUAGGGACGAAAAAGUCGUAAGACAAUUGACGGUACCUAAUGAAUAAGCUCCGGCUAACUACGUGCCAGCAGCCGCGGUAAUACGUAGGGAGCGAGCGUUAUCCGGAAUUAUUGGGCGUAAAGGGUUCGUAGGUGGCAUAAUAAGUCUAUAGUUAAAGUUCGGGGCUCAACCCCGUGAUGCUAUAGAAACUGUUAAGCUUGAAUAUAGGAGAGGAUAAUGGAAUUCCAUGUGUAGCGGUAAAAUGCGUAAAUAUAUGGAGGAACACCAGUGGCGAAGGCGGUUAUCUGGACUAAGAUUGACACUAAGGAACGAAAGCGUGGGGAGCAAACAGGAUUAGAUACCCUGGUAGUCCACGCCGUAAACGAUGAGUAUUAAGUGUUACCGUGAGGUAGUGCUGAAGUUAACGCAUUAAAUACUCCGCCUGAGUAGUACGUACGCAAGUAUGAAACUUAAAGGAAUUGACGGGAACCUGCACAAGCGGUGGAACAUGUUGUUUAAUUCGAUGAUACGCGAUAAACCUUACCAGGCCUUGACAUACUGAGCAAAGCUAUAGAGAUAUAGUGGAGGUUAUCUCAGAUACAGGUGGUGCAUGGUUGUCGUCAGCUCGUGUCGUGAGAUGUUGGGUUAAGUCCCAUAACGAGCGCAACCCCUAUUGCUAGUUGCCAUCAUUAAGUUGGGGACUCUAGUGAGACUGCCAGCGACAAGUUGGAGGAAGGUGGGGAUGACCUCGAAUUCAUUCAUGCCCCUUAUGGCCUGGGCUAACAAACGUGUAACAAUGGCUGGAACAAAGAGAUGCUACCUCGCGAGAGCAAGCAAAACUUCAUAAAGACAGUCUCAGUUCGGAUUGAAGUCUGCAACUCGACUUCAUGAAGUUGGAAUCGCUAGUAAUCGUGGAUCAGAAUGCCACGGUGAAUACGUUCUCAGGUUUUGUACACACCGCCCGUCAAACCAUGAGAGUUUAUAAUACCCGAAGCCGGUGGUCUAACCAGCAAUGGAAGAAGCCGUCUAAGGUAGGAUAGAUGAUUAGGGUGAAGUCGUAACAAGGUAACC